UGGAUAAAAGCCCGCUGGUUUGGGUUUUUAGCUGUUAAUUAAAUCUUCGUGGGAUCGAGGCCCGCUUAUCCAG
rnacentral:tRNA from 1 species